rnacentral:rRNA from 1 species
UACGUAGGGUGCGAGCGUUGUCCGGAAUUACUGGGCGUAAAGAGCUCGUAGGUGGUUUGUCGCGUUGUUCGUGAAAACUCACAGCUCAACUGUGGGCGUGCGGGCGAUACGGGCAGACUUGAGUACUGCAGGGGAGACUGGAAUUCCUGGUGUAGCGGUGGAAUGCGCAGAUAUCAGGAGGAACACCGGUGGCGAAGGCGGGUCUCUGGGCAGUAACUGACGCUGAAGAGCGAAAGCGUGGGGAGCGAACAGG